CCCACCAAAGCGACGAUCAGUAGCCGGCCUGAGAGGGUGACGGCCACAUUGGGACUGAGACACGGCCCAGACUCCUACGGGAGGCAGCAGUGGGGAAUAUUGCACAAUGGGGGAAACCUUGAUGCAGCCGACGCCGCGUGAGUGAUGAAGUAUUUCGGUAUGUAAAGCUCUAUCAGCAGGGAAGAAAAUGACGGUACCUGACUAAGAAGCCCCGGCUAACUAC
rnacentral:rRNA from 1 species